rnacentral:rRNA from 1 species
GAUGAACGCUGACAGAAUGCUUAACACAUGCAAGUCGAUGGGGAAGUGGUGCUUGCCCCAUGGCAACCAUGGCGGACGGGUGAGUAACGCGUAAGGGACUUACCUGCAGGACUGGGAUAACAGGGGGAAACUCCUGACAAGACCGGAUAAUGUCAUGGAGCUGCAUGGCUUUAUGAUGAAAGGAGACGCCUGCGGAGAGCCUUGCGUCCUAUUAGCUAGUUGGUGAGGUAAUGGCUCACCAAGGCGAAGAUAGGUAGCCGGCCUGAGAGGGUGGACGGCCACAAGGGGACUGAGGUACGGCCCUUACUCCUACGGGAGGCAGCAGUGGGGAAUAUUGGACAAUGGGGGCAACCCUGAUCCAGCAAUUCUGUGUGCACGAAGAAGGUUUUCGGAUUGUAAAGUGCUUUCAGCAGGGAAGAAGUAAGUGACGGUACCUGCAGAAGAAGCGACGGCUAAAUACGUG